GGAAGUUGUAGCAUGAAAGCUUUCGUAGACAGUACACAAAUGAGUAGGCACAGCAGUGUUCCAGCAAUAAUGUGAAAGCUGACUAAAAACAACUGUUAAUGUAUGUGGAAGUACAUCUUUAUUGAGGGUAAAAGUUUGGUGGAGAACUGUUGAACUAUAGAACAAUCUCAGUGUUUCCAAGCAAAUUAAUCAAACUCAAACAGAGGACUGUGGAAACCUCAACUCGAAGCCAGUCAGUGAGAAGUUCUGGAGGUGUGGAGUUUCAACUGGUUGGAAGGAGGAGGUGUUCUUGUGGGACUGAGCUCUCAACCUGUGGUUGCUGAGGCCAUUUCCAGGUAGACAGUGUCAGAAUUGAAUUGAAUUGGAGGACUUCCAGUUGGUGUCUGCUGCAGAAUAGAUUGCUUGCUUGGUGUAUGGAGAGAAACGUGCACACAUUUGGUCACAGAAGUCUUCCGUGUUGAUUGUUGCUGUUGAGAGAACAGAGGAAAAACACACCUUGAGUUGCUCUUUUCCACACUUAUCCCCCAUGUGCACACUAUCAACAAACACCAAGUACAGUUUCUGAAAUUCUUUUCUUUUUCUAUAUAGCUGUUCUGACUUGCUAAAUUUAUUAAUAAACAUUUUUUUACUUCUAAUGUGUAUAAAUUUUGCAUUUUAUUUUUCCAGGAACUUUUU
rnacentral:lncRNA from 1 species